rnacentral:rRNA from 1 species
GGGGAAUAUUGCACAAUGGGGGAAACCCUGAUGCAGCGACGCCGCGUGGAGGAAGAAGGUCUUCGGAUUGUAAACUCCUGUUGUUGAGGAAGAUAAUGACGGUACUCAACAAGGAAGUGACGGCUAACUACGUGCCAGCAGCCGCGGUAAAACGUAGGUCACAAGCGUUGUCCGGAAUUACUGGGUGUAAAGGGAGCGCAGGCGGGAAGACAAGUUGGAAGUGAAAUCUAUGGGCUCAACCCAUAAACUGCUUUCAAAACUGUUUUUCUUGAGUAGUGCAGAGGUAGGCGGAAUUCCCGGUGUAGCGGUGGAAUGCGUAGAUAUCGGGAGGAACACCAGUGGCGAAGGCGGCCUACUGGGCACCAACUGACGCUGAGGCUCGAAAGUGUGGGUAGCAAACAGGAUUAGAUACCCUGGUAGUCCACACCGUAAACGAUGAUUACUAGGUGUUGGAGGAUUGACCCCUUCAGUGCCGCAGUUAACACAAUAAGUAAUCCACCUGGGGAGUACGACCGCAAGGUUGAAACUCAAAGGAAUUGACGGGGGCCCGCACAAGCAGUGGAGUAUGUGGUUUAAUUCGACGCAACGCGAAGAACCCUACCAAGUCUUGACAUCCUGCGACGAUGCUGGAAGCAGUACUUUCCUUCGGGACGCAGAGACAGGUGGUGCAUGGUUGUCGUCAGCUCGUGUCGUGAGAUGUUGGGUUAAGUCCCGCAACGAGCGCAACCCUUAUGGUCAGUUACUACGCAAGAGGACUCUGGCCAGACUGCCGUCGACAAAACGGAGGAAGGUGGGGAUGACGUCAAAUCAUCAUGCCCUUUAUGACUUGGGCUACACACGUACUACAAUGGCGUUAAACAAAGAGAAGCAAGACCGCGAGGUGGAGCAAAACUCAGAAACAACGUCCCAGUUCGGACUGCAGGCUGCAACUCGCCUGCACGAAGUCGGAAUUGCUAGUAAUCGCAGAUCAGCAUGCUGCGGUGAAUACGUUCCCG